CGGGAUGUAGCGCAGUUUGGCUAGCGCGCCUGCCUUGGGAGCAGGAGGCCGGGGGUUCAAAUCCCUCCAUCCCGACCA
rnacentral:tRNA from 2 species